rnacentral:rRNA from 1 species
AUUGAACGCUGGCGGCAGGCUUAACACAUGCAAGUCGAGCGGAGAUGAGGUGCUUGCACCUUAUCUUAGCGGCGGACGGGUGAGUAAUGCUUAGGAAUCUGCCUAUUAGUGGGGGACAACAUUCCGAAAGGAAAGCUAAUACCGCAUACGUCCUACGGGAGAAAGCAGGGGAUCUUCGGACCUUGCGCUAAUAGAUGAGCCUCAGUCGGAUUAGCUAGUUGGUGGGGUAAAGGCCUACCAAGGCGACGAUCUGUAGAGGGUGUGAGAGGAUGGUCCGCCACACUGGGAGUGAGACACGGACCGGACUGCUGCGGGAGGGAGCAGUGAGGAAUGUUGGACAAUGGGGGGAACCCUGGUCCAGCCAUGCCGCGUGUGUGAAGAAGGCCUUAUGGUUGUAAAGCACUUUAAGCGAGGAGGAGGCUACUGAGACUAAUACUCUUGGAUAGUGGACGUUACUCGCAGAAUAAUCACCGGCUAACUCUGUGCCAGCAGCCGCCGUCGUAA